AACGAACGCUGGCGGCAUGCCUAACACAUGCAAGUCGAACGAGACCUUCGGGUCUAGUGGCGCACGGGUGCGUCACGCGUGGGAACCUGCCCUUAGGCUCGGAAUAACUCCCCGACAGGGGUGCUAAUACCGGAUAAUGUCUUCGGACCAAAGAUUUAUCGCCUUUGGAUGGGCCGGCGUUGUAUUGACCUGUGGGUAGGGUAAAAGCCUACCAAGGCGACGCUCCAUAGCUGGUCUGAGAGGAAGAGCAGCCACUCUGGGGCUAGGACACGGCCCAGACUCCUACGGAAGGCAGCAGAGGGUAAUACAGGAAAAUCGGCGAAAUGCUGAACCAGCUAUGCCGCGUGAGUGAUGGAGGUCUUAGAGUUGUAAAGCACGUUUACCCGGGAUGAUAAUGACAGUACCGGAAGAAUAAGCACCGGCUAACUCCGUG
rnacentral:rRNA from 1 species